AUGAUGCUUUAGGCUGAGUUAAGUUACCGAGGGAGCCAAGGCUUAACUUUUUUUUUUUUAGGAAAUACAUAACAAUGUAUUUAGGGAUAAAAGAACUAUGAUUAUGCAACUUAAUCUGAAAAAUUCAAUUAAAAAAAAACCUGGCACACUCACGAACACUAUAAGCUGUGAUGGUGACACAGCAGAUUCCGAAGUUGUCCCAGUUCCUGGCAGCAUUCUUGCUGGUGUGCCUCAGCCGCCUUGUCAGCUCUGCUUUGUAACCGCGCCUUCUCAAGAUGAGCAAGAUGAAGAAACUCAAGUGAGCACCUCCAAGGUUCCCCUCCCGCAUCUGCCCACGGCUUCCCUUUCCAGGCAGGCGGACCUGGGCAGCUGCCCGGCAGACCUGACCUUCUCCCUCUCCCUGCAGGGCUACACCUUAGCCCAGCUACGUCUGUUCUGCUUUAAAAGAUGUCUGCCUCGAAUGGAUCUCUUUGAAGUAGAAGCACUGUAUAUGUAUAAAUCUAAGGAGAGAAAUACACAAUGCAGCUCCCGUCACCUUCAACUCCUCCCGUGCUCGUAGAAGAGACCCCGCCCAGCUGUCAUUUGCCUGGGUGGUUUUCCAGCCCUGGAUUCCUCCCUGUCAUUUGAGGCUGAAACCCAUGGAGAUGGUUUGGUGUAAGUGGACACUGGCAACAUGGCAGUGCUCUGUUAACAAGGACACUGCACUUGGGUGAGUUGUGCUUUUUUCCACAGUCAUGUUUCAGAAGUGGACUAAGAGGCUCAUCAGAGAUGCGUCAGACCCAUGGGAGAGGGAGGGAGCUGGGGGUCAAGACUUGACUCGUCUGGAGCCAGUGUCCAGGCAGGACAGGUGUGUGUGGGGGUGGGCGUGGUGAGCAGAAGCUCUCAGCUGGGCACAGGUGAGGAAGUUGAGGGCAUGGAGGGGCCCGUCUCUGUUAGUCCACUUCUGAAACACGAUUGCAGAACAGAAUCAAUAGGUUUAGGACACACAGCUAAUGAGAGGCUGCCUGGCGCUAAAACACAAGAUUGUGUUCUGUCCCCUGUAAGAAGCUAGACCUCACCACGGGACUCCCACACCUGUUCACGCUGCCCAAAGUUCCUUUAACUCCAGACAGAGUGUGUCGUUUCACAGAAAGAAAAACACAAAGUUCAAAUACUGAUUAUGGUAAGGUAGUAAAUAAAAGUAAAAUUUAAUCUGGCAGGAAGUGCCAGCAUUCCACCGGAUAAAUAACUAAUAAUAGGCAUCUGCUGAUCUCUACUGGUGGCCAGGAAGGGAGGCCCCUGCCAAGGGGGAUGGGCUUAGACAGCAGGUGCCAAACACUACUCCCCUGUGGGCUGGAGAAGCUGAACUCUGAGUGAGACCGUGCUCCUGCCUGGGCAUGUAAGGAACUGUGCCACGGCCACCACAUGUAUGUGUUGCCAUUAUUUUAAAUAUGGAACAAGCUUUCCUAAGGAUUCCUCAGUGAAGUUGGACACUACAUGUUGACGGUCACAUUGGUAAUGUUAAAGUCUGUACCUGUUCUAGAUGGCCUGCUGACGCAACAUGUCUCACCUCCACUGGUCAGCACGCCCUGCUAUCUUGGAAACUGCUGCACCUUGAAACCACUUACUCUAGAGUGAGGCCUGAGAUACUCCGGAGAUGAACUGUGGAAAGCCUGAAGGGCUCUGCCCUCUUACUCCCCCAAAUUCCUGUUUUGACCCAGGAUGACAUGGCCUAUGAGACUGCGGGGAGCGGCCAGCUAAGGAACCCUAGGAAGCAGUGUUUCUGGAGAGCUGAUGAGCUGGGACAGUCCACCUCCUAGUUUUGUGUUGGGAUGCCCACUGACCUUCCCAUAACUGCACACACGCCAAUGUGAAGGUGUGCUCCUGUUCCAGAUCCCUUUCCCUCCUGAGGCUGGUGCGCUGAUACAGAACACAGCUGUCAGUGAGCAGGGAGACCCCCCCCUCCCCACCAAUCAGGGGUUUCCUGUGCCCGUCAAAGCAGCUCCCUCAGGACCUGGAGUAAAGGCUUAUCUCUAAUGUGGUCAUUGGAGUGCACUGACACGUUUAAUGUUAGUCCAUUUCCUGAUAGUAAGGGGCUCUCGCCUAUCUGGAAAGAAAGGAAAUCGAGAACCUUGAUAGAAACACACUGGGUGGCUUACUAAUUGUGGGGUCCACAGAUGGGACUCCGUGGCCUGACCAACAGGAGGAUCAGGCGUUCUGGAAGGUGCAUGUUCAGAAGCAGAGCAAGUGUUUCCAUGCCUUUCAGUAUCACCAGUAAAGCUAUCCAAGUGUUGAAGACUUUGCAGAGCUCACCCAAAGUUGCUAGAGCUGCUGGAGUUCAUUAAAGCCACAAAGCAGAGAGAGAAGGUGCUGCUGGGAACCAGGUUUCGUGUGUGAGACGCCACUGCCGUGAGCGCCCCAGGAAGGUGCAUGUGGGCCUCUGCAGGGCACUCGGUCAGAGGCCAGACAGCUGGAUCUGUAGAUCAACACCUUUACUCCAAGUAUUUUAUAGGGAACUUUGAAAUUGCAGGAAAGGUACUACUUCACUUGAAGGUAAAAAUGGGCUUUUAUUCAAAGGAAAAAGAAACGAAGAGCUUCAGAUAUAAUUAAACGAGGGAGCCUUGAUCCAGUUACACAUGUCAAGUGUCUGUAGUUCUGAUAUGAAGACUAGCGCAUUGCAGGCUCUUUAAAUAAUAACUUCACUGCUUCCAGUAACAUCUCAAGUAUCAAGAAAGGGCCCGUGGGUAACUUGUAAAGCUCUCUCCGAGGCUGCCUUCUGCUUGAGCCACACCGACAGUCUUUGUCACCAGCAGCACCAGGGCCUCUCCUGUCUGACCUUGUAUCUACCACUUUCUUCCUCUUCUUGGGAUACAUUUCCUUCUUUGGGCUUGCCGACCCCUCUUUACGUUGUGUGUCUCUAGAUAAAUAUUUCUUCUUCAGGAAGCCUUCCGGGCUCUCAGAGUCUGCUGUUGUUGCCCUGAAGCAAACGACCCGUCUCACUUGUUAUUCUGGGUUGUUACUGUCAUCACUUGACAUCCCCAUGGUCUGAAGAUGACCUACAUAUGGGGCUGUAAUGUCCCCGGUCACGCUGUAUGCAAACUGCAGGCCCUUACCCUGGGGCUGGACUGCGCGCCCAGCCCAGGGCAUCCCCCGCUGAGCACGCGGGGAGAUGAUUUCUUCUUCUACAUCUGUAGUUAGGCGGGGAUGAGGUUAGUGGCUGCAACCAAUGGACCACAGGCAAGUUACAUUCACUCCAUUCCUUUUCUCAGUAACUAUAAAAUGGGACUACGAGGCACCUGCCCUGUGUGAGUCUUAGGAGGGUUUAGAAGGACAACACAGUCAAAUUGUCUCAGAACAGCCUGGGGCAGUAUAAGGGCUGAAUAAACAUUAUUUUGUUUGUAACUAUUGUUACAUUAUUAUUAUACAUUAUUACAUUAUUCUGUUUGUAACUAUUAUGCUGUUGGUAACUUCUUUCACUGUCUACUGUAAUCACAAAGUACUUUUGCUCUCCACCUUUAACUUCCAAUAACAGAGUACUUGGAUAAUUUUAACAUAGUUCUGUUUUAUUUUGAACUGUUCUGGCAGCAUCCAUAAAAAUACCACCACAAUAUUGUACUGUGAGGUAAGACAGCCAAAUGCCAAUCACAUUUCAACAGCUAGUGGGCUAUAAAGUUUACUGUUA